UCACCAUUUUUACACCCGUUAACCGAGACCUAUGGGUGGAUAAAUUACGUCUCUCAUAUCCUGUAGUGAAGGGAUUACAGGAAAUAUAGUAUCGC
ncrna:unclassified sequences PhotoRC-II RNA